rnacentral:rRNA from 1 species
UACGUAGGCAGCGAGCGUUGUUCGGAAUUACUGGGCGUAAAGAGUGUGUAGGCGGUGCUCUAAGUUCGGUGUGAAAUCUCCUGGCUCAACUGGGAGGGUGCGCCGGAAACUGGAGUGCUUGAGCGUGGGAGAGGAAAGCGGAAUUCCUGGUGUAGCGGUGAAAUGCGUAGAUAUCAGGAGGAACACCGGUGGCGAAGGCGGGUCUCUGGGCCGUAACUGACGCUGGAGGAGCGAAAGCGUGGGGAGCGAACAGG